CUCUGUGUGGCAUAUUGGUUUGACCAUUGGACUAGAAUGCUGGAGACCUGGGUUUGAAUCCCAGCUCAGUCA